AGCAGUAGCCGCGGGAAUACGUAGGUGGCAAGCGUUGUCCGGAAUUAUUGGGCGUAAAGGGCUCGCAGGCGGUUUCUUAAGUCUGAUGUGAAAGCCCCCGGCUCAACCGGGGAGGGUCAUUGGAAACUGGGAAACUUGAGUGCAGAAGAGGAGAGUGGAAUUCCACGUGUAGCGGUGAAAUGCGUAGAGAUGUGGAGGAACACCAGUGGCGAAGGCGACUCUCUGGUCUGUAACUGACGCUGAGGAGCGAAAGCGUGGGGAGCGAACAGGAUUAGAGACCCCCGUAGUCCCUGUCUCUUAUAC
rnacentral:rRNA from 1 species